UAAGUAAAAUAUUCUAUUUUCUUAUAAAACAAUAUUUAUAGAGUUAUACGUAAAUAAUUUUUGUAACGUAAAAGCUAAAUAAAUUCAUACAUACUGUAAUACAGUAAGUCAGAGUAUGUAAUUUAAUUUACAAUAACAAGAGGGCCCCCGAAUAAAUAAAAGUAAAGAGGAUUGUGAACCUACAGUUUGGAAAAUGCAUAUCUAACGAUAGUCCUCGAUGAGAUCAGCUAUCUACAGUCUAUACUGAACCUGAAAUGGAUGGAAAGGAGGGUGGUGAGAUUAUAAAAUCUCAAUAAGUAAACAGACAUCAUCAUAAACAUUUAGAGUUGAGUACAUGGAGACAAUAAAGUAAAUCAUCGUAAACUUGGUCACAGUAUUAGAAUACAUUCAUUUAAAAUACGUGAAGAGACUUAUGAAUCUCAUAAAAACUAGGCUUAUGCCAUAAAUUCAUUCUCAGGGACACCUUGGCCAAGGCAUCCUACCAAGACCGCCAAGGCUAUUAAAAUUCACAUUUCACAUAAAUCAUGUUUUUGUUUUGAAAACAUAGCUGUUCUUUGGAGUUGGCUGAAGUCCCCCUCACGUGGUGGUUUGGCGUGAAGUGAACCCUAAGCUUUACCCCAGGAGAUACCCUACACGCCUCUCUGUUUGAGGUAAGAAUAAAAUGGGGUUUACCGUACCCGUCUAAAAGGCUGGUCCACAGAAACCCCAUACUGUAGUGAUUAAUUAAUGUAUAAUCCACCAUAUAAUAAAAUUUUGACGGCAUGAUAGGUAUAAUGAAAUACUACACAACCUGCAAGGGUAAAAUAAAACAAUUCAUACAAUUCAUAAAACACAGUCCAGCCAGUCAUGCCAACACAAUAACAAUAUAACAUAAGCCAUCAAUUUAAACAAUCAAAUUGCCACAAUUAACAGUCUCCGUGUACUCUAUUUUUUCAAAAUCAUUAUUAGUUUCAAAACAAUUUAUAAUUUAAUUUCAUUGGAUCACCUUUAUUCAUAAAACAUGAAAAUUUACCUUUUAAAUCUAUUUUUCCAUAGAAUUCAUGAAAUCAUCUAAAAAUCACUCUAAAUAAUUAAAAUGAUAGUAAGUUUACUCACAAUGUCUAGAAUGCAGACUUUCAAAGUACUCUGUCUACUGGUCCUCAGAUGCAAUUUUCUUACCUUUAUCGGAGGACUCACUACCUUGACACAGUACAAAAUUGAAAAAUUCACCACAUUGAUACUAAAUUGAAAUUAAACUAAUUUAGGCUACUAAUGCAUGAUAUGGAAUGCAAAAAUGUCCGAAUAGCCGUUUAAAUACGGUAUUCGACCUAAUUCGCACUAUUCUCGAUUUAAUCGACUAAAAUCUUCAAUUUAACUCCAAAUCGAUUCUUUUCACUUUUUACACUCCAAUUAUACCUAAAUUACCUCAGUGACUGUGAAUGAGGUUCAAUUUAUCGGUCUUAAGUCAAUAAUUACACAUGUCUAUAUGUUGAGCAAAAAUUCAUAUUUUCGCACCAAAAUUUCUCAUUUAAUUUCUAGCCUCACUAAACAUCAAAUAUCAUCAAAAUAUCAUGAAAUAUCAUCAAAUUCAGUCACAAUAUUUUCCCUAGGAAAUUCGACCAAUGAUGGUAAUGGGGGAAAAUGAAUUCUUUUCUUGUUGUUUUGUUUCUAAAUAUGCUAAACUAACUUAAAACACUAACAUAACUUAAAAUCAAAUCAAUCUAACUUCAUUCUCUCUCCAUAUCCAUUUGGAAAGCCAUGAAUUCACCAUGAAAAUAUGAAAUCUAACCAUGGAAAAUAAGGAGAAAAGCAUGGGAAAGGUAGAUCACAAGUCAAAAUCAAGAAAUUUUACCUUUGAUUGCUUGAUUCCUUGAAAUCUCACACUUUGUCUUUAAUUUUCCUUCUUAGGUUUCUUGUUUUUCUUUUCCUCUCUUUGUUCUUGCUAUGGCCGGCCA
rnacentral:lncRNA from 1 species